UGAACGCUGGCGGUAUGCUUAACACAUGCAAGUCGAACGGAAACGAUACUAGCUUGCUAGUAGGCGUCGAGUGGCGGACGGGUGAGUAACGCGUAGGAAUCUGCCUGAUAGUGGGGGAUAGCCCGAAGAAAUUCGGAUUAAUACCGCAUAAUCUAUUCGUAGUAAAGUGGGGGACUUUCGAGCCUCACGCUAUCAGAUGAGCCUGCGUAAGAUUAGCUUGUUGGUGGGGUAAAAGCCCACCAAGGCGACGAUCUUUAGCUGGUCUGAGAGGAUGAUCAGCCACAUCGGGACUGAGACACGGCCCGAACUCCUACGGGAGGCAGCAGUGGGGAAUAUUGGACAAUGGGGGCAACCCUGAUCCAGCAAUACCGCGUGUGUGAAGAAGGCCUGAGGGUUGUAAAGCACUUUCAAUUGUGAAGAAAAGUUAGCGGUUAAUAACCGUUAGCCUUGACGUUAACUUUAGAAGAAGCACCGGCUAACUCCGUGCCAGCAGCCGCGGUAAUACGGAGGGUGCAAGCGUUAAUCGGAAUUACUGGGCGUAAAGCGUGCGUAGGCGGUUUAUUAAGUCAGAUGUGAAAGCCCCGGGCUUAACCUGGGAACUGCAUUUGAAACUGGUCAACUAGAGUAUGGUAGAGGGAAAGUGGAAUUUCUGGUGUAGCGGUGAAAUGCGUAGAUAUCAGAAGGAACAUCAAUGGGCGAAGGCAGCUUUCUGGACCAAUACUGACGCUGAGGUACGAAAGCGUGGGUAGCAAACAGGAUUAGAUACCCUGGUAGUCCACGCCGUAAACGAUGAUAACUAGCCGUUGGGGGGAUUUACCCUUUAGUGGCGAAGCUAACGCGUUAAGUUAUCCGCCUGGGGAGUACGGCCGCAAGGUUAAAACUCAAAGGAAUUGACGGGGACCCGCACAAGCGGUGGAGCAUGUGGUUUAAUUCGAUGCAACGCGAAGAACCUUACCUGGUCUUGACAUCCUGCGAACUUUCUAGAAAUAGAUUGGUGCCUUCGGGAACGCAGUGACAGGUGCUGCAUGGCUGUCGUCAGCUCGUGUCGUGAGAUGUUGGGUUAAGUCCCGUAACGAGCGCAACCCCUAUCCUUAUUUGCCAGCACAUUAUGGUGGGAACUAUAAGGAGACUGCCGGUGAUAAACCGGAGGAAGGCGGGGACGACGUCAAGUCAUCAUGGCCCUUACGACCAGGGCUACACACGUGCUACAAUGGGAAGGACAAAGAGCCGCGAAGCCGCGAGGUGUAGCUAAUCUCAUAAACCUUUUCGUAGUCCGGAUUGGAGUCUGCAACUCGACUCCAUGAAGUCGGAAUCGCUAGUAAUCGUAGAUCAGAAUGCUACGGUGAAUACGUUCCCGGGUCUUGUACACACCGCC
rnacentral:rRNA from 1 species